rnacentral:rRNA from 1 species
UACAGAGGGUGCGAGCGUUAAUCGGAAUUACUGGGAGUAAAGCGCACGUAGUCGGCUUUGCAAGUCGGGUGUGAAAUCCCCGGGCUCAACCUGGGAACUGCAUCCGAGACUGCAUUGCUAGAGUAUGGGAGAGGGAAGCGGAAUUUCUGGUGUAGCAGUGAAAUGCGUAGAUAUCAGAAGGAACAUCAGUGGCGAAGGCGGCUUCCUGGACCAAUACUGACGAUCAGGUGCGAAAGCGUGGGGAGCAAACAGG